GUUGAUAUAAUAAUUCCUUAUUUGAAAGGUACAGUAGGGUAAAUAUCUACAGGCAAGAGAUCACGGUGCACCUGACUUACCUGAUAAUGGUUUUGGAUUUGUACGGCGGAAGUUUAUACUUGUAAUUAUAACUUUAAAGAUAAGAUCUAAGUACACUGAGUAUACGAAACAUUAGGAACACUGCUCUUUCCAUAACCUACUGACCAGGUGAAUCCAGAGUCUCCAGGACAUCCUGUCAUGUCCAAGGUGGUUUCCAAAGUUUCUUCUGCUGCUAAGGAAAGGAGACCCUGCUACCAGACCUCACCGAUGGAGACCCUGCUACCAGACCUCACCGAUGGAGACCCUGCUACCAGACCUCACCGAUGGAGACCCUGCUACCCGACCUCACCGAUGGAGA